rnacentral:rRNA from 1 species
GACGAACCGUCCAAACGUUAUUCGGAAUCACUGGGCUUACAGAGUUCGUAGGCGGUCCGGUAAGUUAGGUGUGAAAUCCCUCGGCUCAACCGAGGAACUGCGCUUAAUACUGCCGGACUUGAGGGGGAUAGAGGAGAGCGGAACUGAUGGUGGAGCGGUGAAAUGCGUUGAUAUCAUCAGGAACACCGGUGGCGAAGGCGGCUCUCUGGGUCCCUCCUGACGCUGAGGAACGAAAGCUAGGGGAGCAAACGGG